UCAAUCUCUUCUUCUCUCUCGAUCAAUCUCUCCCACUCGCAUCUCUCUUUCUCUCAAAUCUCUGAAAUCCCUCUCCCUCACCGCUCUCUCUCUCCCCUGUCUUCCCUCACCUAUCUCCGCUUCUCCCUCCUCGGCUGCCCUUCUUCGCUGCCUUCCGGCCACCGCAAAGCCGCGUGUUUUCCGGCCAGCUACUACUGGGUUGGCGAGUUUCAGUCUUUGCUCCGUUUCCCCUCUUCGUCGUGCAUCGUGUCUCUAUGGUGUCCUUUGUAGUCUCCUCAAAUCUUCUGCCAAACUUUCUUUCAGUAGCCGCUAUCUGCUUUCUCGGGCAAGUCCAGCGUUAAGCCACGCUUCCCUAUUUGAUUUUGUUGAAUUGAACGAGACGUUGAUCGAGGCAUUGAUCGAGAAGUGAUUGAAAUGGGUAUUCAAAAAUAGCUAAGUUGUGUUGCAAGUUGAAGUUAGGCAGAGAUUGCUAUAGAUAGAAUCUUGUCAGAAGCUGGCAGAAAGGAAUGAUAUGGCACUACAUAGUGUUAUUAGAAAUCUGAGCUAGACACCGGAGUUAAGGCAAGUAUAUUUCCAACCUACUUUCUCUUUAAAAGAUUUUGCUCCUGCAAUGCUUUUGUUAUGCUUUGAAUAUUGCAAAACUCCUUAUAGAAUUAGACUUCUACUAAUUACGAGUAUUCUGGAAUUACCCAAGUAUGAAUGGAAUACCCUUUGUCACUUAUAUCUUGCAAAUGUAUCAACUUAAUUAUCAUCCUUAUCUUCUUCAACUGCUAGUUACUUAUUAUUGAGCUUAGAACCUUGUUUUCUUACCUCCCUUUUAACUACAACAAAUUGUGUUCUUGCUUAUAAAAAAAACUAGUUCACUUGUUUGUUCCUGACCCAGAAAUGAAACCCCAUUUCUUGAAAGACCUUAGUUAUCAUCAUACAACCUACCCUGCCAUUAUUAUAAAAUACAUUGAUACACUUGAUUCAGUAACCUAUACCCUUGAUAAAGAAUACUUAAUUAGUAGAAAUCUAAUGCUAAGGUGUUGAAAUGAAUAUUUGGUUGAGAAUCAAUGUUGCUUACAGAUUUUGAACCUUGGUCUUAAAAUGAAAAAUGAUUUGAUUUAUUUGUUUUAGAAAGGGAAUUGGAUGAAAAUGUUUUAUGACCGAGGCGCCGGUCCCAAUUGAAUUAUUAAAGGCCGAAGUGUGCCUAGGAUCCUUUAUAUUUGAGAACUCGUAUUGAAUAUGCGGGUUCGGAGCUAUGUCGUGGGCUGAUCACCCAGCUUAGCUCGUAGCGUCUUAUCUGGUUCCAAUUCCAUAAAGGAGAAACUGUUUUGUUUAAAUCAUAUUGUGUUGGUAUCAUUAUCUUUAUAUCAUUGUCAGGUUUUACAUACUGUUUGAUUUAUUGUUGGUUUGGAUAUUAUAUACUUGCUGAGCAUUCUUUUGCUCAUUCUUGCUAUUUCUUCUAACCCCUUUCAGAUAAUGUUAAAGAUGGUUCGCCUAUUUAGGCUAAGCAUAAGAGUAAGGCUAGGCGAGGAUUGCAAGUGACUAAGUUUCAACCUCUGAUGGUCAGGAAGAGUAUCCAAGAUCGAGUCUUUGGGACUAGUGGUAAUUAGAGUUGUCUAAAUUUGAUUUAGUUGUAAAAACAUGUAAUAGGAUUUAUUAGUUUUACUUUUCUGAUUUCAAUACUAUAGCCUGUUUGCGAUCCUGUUUUAAAGGGGGUUAAACUUUGUUCUUUUAAAUCUUUUAUUAAAGCUUUUAGGUUUUCAAUUCUUUGA